GAUGAACGCUGGCGGCGUGCCUAAUACAUGCAAGUCGAGCGAACAGACGAGGAGCUUGCUCCUCUGACGUUAGCGGCGGACGGGUGAGUAACACGUGGAUAACCUACCUAUAAGACUGGGAUAACUUCGGGAAACCGGAGCUAAUACCGGAUAAUAUAUUGAACCGCAUGGUUCAAUAGUGAAAGACGGCUUUGCUGUCACUUAUAGCUGGAUCCGCGCCGCAUUAGCUAGUUGGUAAGGUAACGGCUUACCAAGGCGACGAUGCGUAGCCGACCUGAGAGGGUGAUCGGCCACACUGGAACUGAGACACGGUCCAGACUCCUACGGGAGGCAGCAGUAGGGAAUCUUCCGCAAUGGGCGAAAGCCUGACGGAGCAACGCCGCGUGAGUGAUGAAGGUCUUCGGAUCGUAAAACUCUGUUAUUAGGGAAGAACAAAUGUGUAAGUAACUAUGCACGUCUUGACGGUACCUAAUCAGAAAGCCACGGCUAACUACGUG
rnacentral:rRNA from 1 species